CGCGUGGCCGGCCGGCCCUAUAAUUGCAGUCGACGAACUCUGGUAUUGAUUGGUGCUUGCAUCAUGAUUUACAUUUGAGUGAGUGGCGAACUGGUGAGUAACACGUGGGAAACCUGCCCAGAAGCGGGGGAUAACACCUGGAAACAGAUGCUAAUACCGCAUAACAACUUGGACCGCAUGGUCCGAGUUUGAAAGAUGGCUUCGGCUAUCACUUUUGGAUGGUCCCGCGGCGUAUUAGCUAGAUGGUGGGGUAACGGCUCACCAUGGCAAUGAUACGUAGCCGACCUGAGAGGGUAAUCGGCCACAUUGGGACUGAGACACGGCCCAAACUCCUACGGGAGGCAGCAGUAGGGAAUCUUCCACAAUGGACGAAAGUCUGAUGGAGCAACGCCGCGUGAGUGAAGAAGGGUUUCGGCUCGUAAAACUCUGUUGUUAAAGAAGAACAUAUCUGAGAGUAACUGUUCAGGUAUUGACGGUAUUUAACCAGAAAGCCACGGCUAACUACGUGCCAGCAGCCGCGGUAAUACGUAGGUGGCAAGCGUUGUCCGGAUUUAUUGGGCGUAAAGCGAGCGCAGGCGGUUUUUUAAGUCUGAUGUGAAAGCCUUCGGCUCAACCGAAGAAGUGCAUCGGAAACUGGGAAACUUGAGUGCAGAAGAGGACAGUGGAACUCCAUGUGUAGCGGUGAAAUGCGUAGAUAUAUGGAAGAACACCAGUGGCGAAGGCGGCUGUCUGGUCUGUAACUGACGCUGAGGCUCGAAAGUAUGGGUAGCAAACAGGAUUAGAUACCCUGGUAGUCCAUACCGUAAACGAUGAAUGCUAAGUGUUGGAGGGUUUCCGCCCUUCAGUGCUGCAGCUAACGCAUUAAGCAUUCCGCCUGGGGAGUACGGGCCGCAAGGCUGAAACUCAAAGGAAUUGACGGGGGCCCGCACAAGCGGUGGAGCAUGUGGGUUUAAUUCGAAGCUACGCGAAGAACCUUACCAGGUCUUGACAUACUAUGCAAAUCUAAGA
rnacentral:rRNA from 1 species